GACGAACGCUGGCGGCGUGCUUAACACAUGCAAGUCGAACGGAGAGGCCCUGCUUUUGUGGGGUGCUCGAGUGGCGAACGGGUGAGUAACACGUGAGUAACCUGCCCUUGACUUUGGGAUAACUUCAGGAAACUGGGGCUAAUACCGGAUAGGAGCUCCUGCUGCAUGGUGGGGGUUGGAAAGUUUCGGCGGUUGGGGAUGGCCUCGCGAUUUAUCAGCCUGUUGGUGGGGUAGUGGCUUACCAAAGAUUUGACGGGUAGCCGGCCUGAGAGGGUGACCGGACACAUUGGGACUGAGAUACGGCCCAGACUCCUACGGGAGGCAGCAGUGGGGAAUAGUGCACACUGGGCGGCAGCCUGACGCAGCAACGCCGCGUGCGGGAGGACGGCCCUCGGGUUGUAAUCCGCGUUCGCAUGUUACGAAGCGUGAGUGACGGUAAUGGGUAAAGAAGCACCGGAUAACUACGUG
rnacentral:rRNA from 1 species